rnacentral:rRNA from 1 species
AACGAACGCUGGCGGCAGGCCUAACACAUGCAAGUCGAACGCCCUAGCAAUAGGGAGUGGCAGACGGGUGAGUAACACGUGGGAACGUGCCUUUCGGUUCGGAAUAACCCAGGGAAACUUGGACUAAUACCGGAUACGUGCGAGAGCAGAAAGAUUUAUCACCGAAAGAUCGGCCCGCGUCCGAUUAGCUAGUUGGUGAGGUAACGGCUCACC